GUUGCUGUAGUAUAAAAAGUAUGAUUGUUUUAAGAUCAAUUGGUUAUUUCGGUAAUU
rnacentral:tRNA from 1 species